GAUUUAGGCCUUCUCUAUACAAACCCAAUUAUGUUGAUUGAGUUUCCUGACUAAACAAAUUGGUUAAACUGACUAGGAACUAAAUGAGAAUCAAACUGUUAGAUAGUAGCCAGUCAGUUCUGGUAAAAUAGUAAAACUGAUCUUGCAUAAAAAGCUUAAAAUUAAAUGUUAUGGAAAAACAACAACAACAUAUUUCCCUGCAAGACUUAUGUAUGAUACUUCAUAUCUACACUUUGUAGAGUAAAUCAGAUGUACCACUGUCAUUGUGCCUAUCAUAACAGGCAAAUUAAAUAUGUUUGGGAGUAAUUAUAUAGUUAUAUCAUGGGAUAGCAUCAGAGUUUAAAACACUAUUAGGAUAUGAAUAAAUACAUGCUCUGAAUUUACUCCUAUUCAGACAAAUGUUACUUUAUUGAAAAUUAGUUGAAAAUUAUUAUUUUUCUUUAUUGGCUUUAUUUAUUAACGGAGUUAUUUUUUCAUUUUGUAAAAUAUUUUAUAACACUAAAAUAUAUUUCAAAGUCAAAGACAAGACACUCUCUCAAUACAGAAUAUAUAGUGGAAAUCAUUGCAGUGAUAAAGUGGACAACAGCAUUUAGUGUGCUUUUUAAUAUGACUGUAAUAACUUUUUCAUGCAGUCACAUUAACUUGGUUUUAGUCUGCACUGCAAUUAGAAGUCCAAUUGCGGUUAAAAAAAAAAAUGCAAUGGCUUGAUUAAAUAAAUGGGCCCACUCAUUUGUCGCUGAUUUCCCAGUAGGUCAGAUUCUUGUAAGUAUCAUCAGGGCAAAAGGCUUGAGUUGGUAAUGAUGGUGUUACUUAAUAUUGUUCAGUAACUCCGCCACUCAUAUUUGUUGAAUAAGGAUAUAUUAUCUACAUUUGGAAGUUCUCAAAUAUUCCGAAGUAGUUGUAAAUAUAUAAGACUUGUCAAAGGUUUCUUUAACUACAGGAACAAUGAAAAAUAUUCUUACUGUAGAGUCAUCUGUUUAACCUGAUUUUUCUCAGAAAUAAGCUUGAACAUAGUCAUGUAUAUGAGUUUCCAUUUACAUGUGAAUAACAUUAUAACUAUGUCUUUUAUAGAAGACAAGUUGAGAAAGUACCUUUUCAUAUGAGAUUCCGUCUAACUUUUUUAAGUAAGAG
rnacentral:lncRNA from 1 species